GCAUUGAAACACUAGUUCUCCUAUAAUCAUUGAAGUUAAGCAAUAUUGAGCCUGGUCAGUACCUAGAUGGGUGACUGCUUGGGAAUACAAGGGGCUGUAAU